GUGAGGAAUAUUGGUCAAUGGGCGGGAGCCUGAACCAGCCAAGUCGCGUGAAGGAAGAAGGAUCUAUGGUUCGUAAACUUCUUUUGCAGGGGAAUAAAGUGCAGGACGUGUCCUGUUUUGUAUGUACCCUGAGAAUAAGGAUCGGCUAACUCCGUGCCAGCAGCCGCGGUAAUACGGAGGAUCCGAGCGUUAUCCGGAUUUAUUGGGUUUAAAGGGUGCGUAGGUGGUUUGAUAAGUCAGCGGUGAAAGUUUGCAGCUUAACUGUAAAAAUGCCGUUGAAACUGUCGGACUUGAGUGUAAAUGAGGUAGGCGGAAUGCGUGGUGUAGCGGUGAAAUACAUAGAUAUCACGCAGAACUCCGAUUGCGAAGGCAGCUUACUAAGCUACAACUGACACUGAAGCACGAAAGCGUGGGGAUCAAACAGGAUUAGAAACCCCGGUAGUCC
rnacentral:rRNA from 1 species